UACGUAGGGGGCUAGCGUUGUCCGGAUUUAUUGGGCGUAAAGAGCGUGUGGGCGGCCAGGUAGGUCUGGUGUGAAAACUCGAGGCUUAACCUCGAGAUGUCAUCGGAAACCAUCUGGCUAGAGUCCGGAAGAGGAGAGUGGAAUUCCUGGUGUAGCGGUGAAAUGCGCAGAUAUCAGGAAGAACACCAAUGGCGAAAGCAGCUCUCUGGGACGGUACUGACGCUGAGACGCGAAAGCGUGGGGAGCGAACAGG
rnacentral:rRNA from 1 species